AGAGGUCUCGUCACAUUGGAGAAAGCUGAUUGAAAUAAAAAACAACCAGAAAAGGAAUUGGCACAGAAAGAUGGGUCUUCCUCGGUGUUUACACUUUGCGUGUGUUAUGAGAGCUUUCAGCCCACGGAAGCGAGGCCCAGCCAGGCUGCGUUUAGUUAGGCUCUGCUCCGUGAUCCCAGAGCUGAAUGGCCCCUUGCCAUCUGCUUCCAUUCAGUGUAAGGAGAGGACAUUAGAGUCGAAGGGAGCCGUGAACCCUGAUGGUGGGUUUUAGGAGCCACCCUUGAAGCUGAGCAGGAGUGCCAGGGAAGAGGCUGAGAUCAGGUGCCGAGGGCCUGAGACGCUGCACCACAGGACUCGGGCGCUGCCCUAGAGUUGGUGUUGAGCCACUGAACGACUUAAGCAGAAAACAUACUCCGAUUUUUAUUUCCAUCUCUUACUGAUUACAAACCACAUCCAACAGCCUGGAAACCUGAACAGGACACAUGAAGCUGAACUCUGGGUGUGGGCAGACUGUCAUUUCCUCCACAGGCCACACCAGUGCCCUAAGAGGCUAGAACGCUUAGGCAAUCAGGACUCACAGAGCUUAACUGGUUUACUCCUCUCCCAAGGUCUGAAAUCCACAAACCAUCCCUCAGGAAAACCUGAGCCCAGGAUCACUGGCAACCCCAACCCAAGGGAAGAAAUUAGAGCCUGAACCUCAGCAUUUACUUUAUGCCAGCUAUGGAGCAAGCGAAGCCCCCAUUCUUUGCCAAAUAAGUAAAUGCAAACGUAGCGGAGUCCAGAAGCCAAGCUGGGUUGAGGUGCAUAUUGUGUCAAGAGACAGAAUUUGCAGCUUCCCAUCACCAUAACAAAUCCCAGAGAUAAUCAGUUCACCAAAAGAAAAG
rnacentral:lncRNA from 1 species